rnacentral:lncRNA from 1 species
GGGGAUUCACCGAGAACUUGUGCAUACCAUCCUCUUUUCACAACAUCCCAGUCAUUCUGCAAAAGGCUCAUUGUAUUUGCAUAUUUCAAUUUUCACAUCCUAGAUAUUGAGCUGAUGACCCCACAACUUUAAAAGGAAAAAGAAACAAGAACAUCAAAGAAAAUGGGGGAAAAAAUGAAAGGGCAAAAAGUAUAUGAUAUCCAUAAAGGCAAAUGUGCAUAUGUGAGACAUCAUUAACAUGGUAAUACUCUUUAUAGAUCAGGCCAGACCUGACCAUUAACAUGGUAAUACUCUUUAUAGAUCAGGCCAGACCUGACCAGGCUGUGAGGCAACAUAACCCUCUCAAACUUCCCCUUUAUCCAAUAUCAUGCCAACUAAUGAUCCAAUCUUAUGCCUAGACCUUAGUCAUACUACAUACAUUAACAACAGGAACAAAAGUUGUUUAUGAAUAGACCAGGAUAAUUUUUUCACAGUAUACCUGGAUGCAUCUGACAUCUAACAUCACUGCAGGAUGUCCAUCAUGGCAAAAUUGCCAAUGGGUCAAAUACUAGCUACAACAAUAUAAACAAGAAUAUCUCGAACUAAUUUAAACAAUUUCUGGCCGCACGGGACUUGUUCGCUCCAUGCGAAAUGAGAAACGGGAAAAAGUUAAUUGGAAUGCAAUAUCAUGCCUCAGCUAGUCCACCUAAAUUAUACGCAACAAAAACCAAGGGAAUCAAUGACCACAUACAUCAUGCUAUGGAUGUUAAACAUAUUUAUGGAAUUAUUUUACGUUAUUGUGAAGAUAAAAUAUCAAAAUCCAUGGCAUCGCAAAUGACAGCAUUUAAAAAUUAUUUUGUCCCCAAUUUAGAGGGGGAUAAAAAAUCCUCAAAGUCCAUAUUUUCCGGUGAACUGAAUGAUUACUUAUUAGUACCUCGUAACGGUCCAUCGUGACAUACAUACGACCUCCACCAAAUGCAACCUGUGUGUCAACACCUUUCUCAUGUAAAUGUGCUAACUCCUUCUCAAGAGUUUCUACAAAGCCUAUACUUGAACCAUCCAAGACAUCACGGCCAUCAGUAAGAAUAUGAACGCAAAUUCUUUUAGCACCAUGCUCGCUAGCUCCUUUCAGCAACAACUGCAAAAAAACAAUAGACAUGUAAAUAAUAUUUUCUUUCGAAAAAAUCAGGAAAUUCAAAUCUCCACAAUAGAACAAAAUCAGUCUUCAACUAAAAAACAUACCAGUAAUUGAUCAAUUCUGGAGUGGACACCUCCAUCACUCAAUAACCCAAUGAGGUGCAAUGUAUAUAGAGAAUAUUGGGGAGAGAGAGAGAAUAUUGGGGGGAGAGAGAGAGAGAGAACAACAUAAUAUAUAGAGAAUAUGAUUUAGAAAUCAUAACUGCCAUCUCUAAAUCAACUAUAAAUGUGAUUUACAUUCUUACACUAUUUAGGUGCAAAACGAAAAGCAUGCAGGCUGAAGAAAUUAGUAAGAUUAAUAGUGUAGGAUGCAAAACCAAACUAGUAUAGGUUAUAGUAGAAAAGCCCUUUGGAGAAGAGUAACAUAAUUCGAAUGCAAGAAUGUGAUGAUAACAUGUUGGCAUACCAAUCCUUUGCAAAGCAUUCUUCCUUACCACACAUAAGACAAACAAUGUAGUCUUUUAUAACGUAUAAAUAACAAGAUGCUGCAAAUGCAAAGAAAAUUCUGUCUGGCACAUGAACAGCAGUCCUAUUGGAGAGAUUUUACCAUGGCAUAUACCUGACAUCAAUAUGCAAUCUACUAUAGUACACAAUAUAAAAGCAAAAAUUGCCCGAUUUAAGCCAAAUCAAAAACCACGUGAAAAGAAGUAGAUAGGUAAUAAAACUUGUGACAAAAAUCAGAACAUAGUGUGGAAAAUAGAAAGUCAUAGAAGACUGAAAAUAGGGAAAAGAAAUUAACCCUUGAACAUAAAUACGUCCAGCACCAAGUGCAUUAUGACCAACUUCACUGUUGCCCAUGUCAUCCUCAGUUGGAAGCCCUACUGCCUUGCCAUGAGCUCUAACCAACCUCCAUCGAUCAGGGGCUCCCUUUCAAGAUAAAGAAAUAGGUAACAAUGUUAAUUAUGACUCCCUAGUCCUUACACCCAAUAAAUGUCAAGCAAGAUAAUUUGUUAAGACCAAUCCAUAAUGAUAUGCUUGAGGGCUGAUACCCCAAUCUUAUGCAAUAUAAGUGUAGGAAGACCGGUGCACCUAUUUACCAUUUACUCAGAAGGUUUGCACACAUUCGUCUUAUCCACACUUGUUAUUUUGGCUAAAGUUCAUCAUUAUUUUGUCUUACUCUAUCGGCACCUGUAACCAUAAAAUAUGUACAUAUGCAAGAUGGUUAUCGCCCAUACUAUGACUAAGUGCAAGAAGAGAAAUAAAAGUGCUUGAAUGAAAAAGUGUGUUGUGCAGAGUGGGUUUAUGUAAACUCUUGGUCUUCCUUUUAAGGUUACCAUCUUGUGCUUUAGAAUCUAGUGUGUGGAACAGAAAAGGGGCUCUUGUA